GGUAUCGCCGUUAGUCAUGUGCAAAUAUGGAUAGCUGUUUUAGCCGUCUUUAUUGACUGGUUUAUAAGAGUUAUCAGAUAUCACUUUGAUUAAAUUAGAGUGCUUAAAGCAAGUGUGUUACUUGGAUAUAAAUGCAUGGAAUGAUGGAAUAUGUUGUUAUUCUAUUUGUUGGUUUUUGAAUGAUAAAAUGAUUGAAAGGAACUGUUGGGGGCAUUCGUAUUGUUGUGAGAGAGGUGAAAUUCUUAGACCACAGCAAGACGAACUACUGCGAAAGCAUUUGCCAAGAAUGUUUUCAUUGAUCAAGAACGAAAGUUAGAGGUUCGAAGGCGAUCAGAUACCGCCCUAGUUCUAACCAUAAACUAUGCCAACUAGCAAUUUGCUUUGUAUUUUUUAUGACUAAGUGAGAGGCCACGGGAAACCUAAGUAGGGUUAUGGGGGAAGUAUGGUUGCAAAGCUGAAACUUAAAGGAAUUGACGGAAGGGCACCACCAGGAGUGGAGCCUGCGGCUUAAUUUGACUCAACACGGGAAAACUUACCUGGUCCUGACACUAGAAGGAUUGACAGAUUGAUAGCUCUUUCUUGAUUUGGUGGAUGGUGGUGCAUGGCCGUUCUUAGUUGGUGGAGUGAUUUAUCUGGUUAAUUCCGAUAACGAACGAGACUUUAGCCUAUUAAAUAAUACACGGAAUUUUAUCUUCCGCGGUAUUUCUUAGUGGGAUCAAGCG
rnacentral:rRNA from 1 species